UACGUAGGGGGCAAGCGUUGUCCGGAAUCAUUGGGCGUAAAGCGCGUGUAGGCGGUCCGGUAAGUCGGUUGUGAAAGUCCAGGGCUCAACCCUGGGAUGCCGAUCGAUACUGCCGGACUAGAGUCCGGAAGAGGCGAGUGGAAUUCCCGGUGUAGCGGUGAAAUGCGCAGAUAUCGGGAGGAACACCAAUGGCGAAGGCAGCUCGCUGGGACGGUACUGACGCUUAGACGCGAAAGCGUGGGGAGCAAACAGG
rnacentral:rRNA from 1 species